GACGAACGCUGGCGGCGUGCUUAACACAUGCAAGUCGAACGGAAAGGCCCUGCUUUUGUGGGGUGCUCGAGUGGCGAACGGGUGAGUAACACGUGAGUAACCUGCCCUUGACUUUGGGAUAACUUCAGGAGACUGGGGCUAAUACCGGAUAGGAGCUCCUGCUGCAUGGUGGGGGUUGGAAAGUUUCGGCGGUUGGGGAUGGACUCGCGGCUUAUCAGCUUGUUGGUGGGGUAGUGGCUUACCAAGGCUUUGACGGGUAGCCGGCCUGAGAGGGUGACCGGCCACAUUGGGACUGAGAUACGGCCCAGACUCCUACGGGAGGCAGCAGUGGGGAAUAUUGCACAAUGGGCGGAAGCCUGAUGCAGCAACGCCGCGUGCGGGAUGACGGCCUUCGGGUUGCAAACCGCUUUCGCCUGUGACGAAGCGUGAGUGACGGUAAUGGGUAAAGAAGCACCGGCUAACUACGUG
rnacentral:rRNA from 1 species